GCACGCUUAGCUCAGUUGGUUAGAGCACCUCGUUUACACCGAGGGGGUCCAAGGUUCGAGUCCUUGAGCGUGCACCA
rnacentral:tRNA from 1 species